rnacentral:rRNA from 1 species
CGUGUAGGCGGAUGGGAACGUCGGAUACUGAAAGCCCCCGGCUCAACCGGGGAAGUGGUGCCGAAACGACCUGUCUGGAGGGACGUAGGGGGAUCUGGAACUUCCGGUGGAGCGGUGAAAUGCGUUGAGAUCGGAAGGAACGCCCGUGGCGAAAGCGAGGUCCUGGACGUCUGCUGACGCUGAGACGCGAAAGCUAGGGGAGCAAACGGGAUUAGAUACCCCGGUAGUCCUAGCCGUAAACGAUGGGCACUGGGUAGGGGGCUCGCCGAUGGGCUCUCUGCCGUAGCGAAAGCGUGAAGUGCCCCGCCUGGGGAGUAUGGUCGCAAGGCUGAA